rnacentral:rRNA from 1 species
GACGAACGCUGGCGGCGUGCCUAAUACAUGCAAGUUGAGCGCUGAAGGUUGGUACUUGUACCAACUGGAUGAGCAGCGAACGGGUGAGUAACGCGUGGGGAAUCUGCCUUUGAGCGGGGGACAACAUUUGGAAACGAAUGCUAAUACCGCAUAAAAACUUUAAACACAAGUUUUAAGUUUGAAAGAUGCAAUUGCAUCACUCAAAGAUGAUCCCGCGUUGUAUUAGCUAGUUGGUGAGGUAAAGGCUCACCAAGGCGAUGAUAUAUAGCCGACCUGAGAGGGUGAUCGGCCACAUUGGGACUGAGACACGGCCCAAACUCCUACGGGAGGCAGCAGUAGGGAAUCUUCGGCAAUGGACGAAAGUCUGACCGAGCAACGCCGCGUGAGUGAAGAAGGUUUUCGGAUCGUAAAACUCGGUUGGUAGAGAAGAACGUUGGUGAGAGUGGAAAGCUCAUCAAGUGACGGUAACUACCCAGAAAGGAACGGCUAACUACGUGC